rnacentral:rRNA from 1 species
UUGUUACGACUUCACCCCAGUCAUGAAUCCCACCGUGGUAAGCGGCCUCCUUACGGUUAGCCUACCUACUUCUGGUGAAACCCACUCCCAUGGUGUGACGGGCGGUGUGUACAAGGCCCGGGAACGUAUUCACCGCGGCAUGCUGAUCCGCGAUUACUAGCGAUUCCGACUUCAUGCACUCGAGUUGCAGAGUGCAAUCCGGACUACGAUCGGUUUUGUGAGAUUGGCACCCCCUCGCGGGUUAGCGACCCUCUGUACCGACCAUUGUAUGACGUGUGAAGCCCUGGUCAUAA